GACGAACGCUGGCGGCGUGCUUAACACAUGCAAGUCGAACGAUGAAGCUGGAGCUUGCUCCGGUGGAUUAGUGGCGAACGGGUGAGUAACACGUGAGCAAUCUGCCCUUGACUCUGGGAUAACUGCGGGAAACUGUAGCUAAUACCGGAUACGACACCUUCGGGCAUCCGAUGGGUGUGGAAAGAAUUUCGGUCAAGGAUGAGCUCGCGGCCUAUCAGCUAGUUGGUGAGGUAAUGGCUCACCAAGGCGACGACGGGUAGCCGGCCUGAGAGGGUGACCGGCCACACUGGGACUGAGACACGGCCCAGACUCCUACGGGAGGCAGCAGUGGGGAAUAUUGGGCAAUGGAGGAAACUCUGACCCAGCGACGCCGCGUGCGGGAUGAAGGCCUUCGGGUUGUAAACCGCUUUCAGCAGGGAAUAAGCGAAAGUGAAGGUACCUGCAGAAGAAGCACCGGCUAACUAUGUG
rnacentral:rRNA from 1 species